UACGAAGGGUGCAAGCGUUGUCCGGAAUCAUUGGGCGUAAAGAGCGCGUAGGCGGUCCGGUAAGUCCGCUCUGAAAGCCCGGGGCUCAACCCCGGGAGGCGGGCGGAUACUGUCGGGCUAGAGUCCGGAAGAGGCGAGUGGAAUUCCUGGUGUAGCGGUGAAAUGCGCAGAUAUCAGGAGGAACACCGAUGGCGAAGGCAGCUCGCUGGGACGGUACUGACGCUGAGGCGCGAAAGCGUGGGGAGCAAACAGG
rnacentral:rRNA from 1 species